AUUCUCGACUCAUUAAAAAUCUGUCUUAAAUGAUUGCCUGCACGAGGGUUCAGGUUUGGAGGCUGUACGGUUGUGGAAGCAGAACGGGAUUCACUGAAUUACGGGCAGUUAGAACAGAGCUGAAUUACUUAUAUGCCCUCGUGUUUAUUUGGAAGCAUCUGUGCUGCCAUCAACUAGUUUGUUUUACUUGUUCGGUAAUUACAAAUGAGUUAAUGAUGGUUUGUGCAUGUUAAUCUUCAUGUUUGGGCCAAUUAAUUACUGUAAAAGGUUCUUUAGAUAUAGACUCUUUCAACUUUUAUUUUUUAGAUAAAAAUUUACUUAAUUUUAAACAUCCAAAUAAAAUUUUAAUUUGAAAAAAAUUGUCAAAUAGAAAAGUAAUUGAUCUAUUAUUACAAAACAUUUACAACUUGUGCCACAAACGAAUCAAUAAAUAUUAUUACUUACCUUAAUUAUAAUGAACAAAUAAUUAUUGCACAUACUAUUACUCCUAACAUAUAUAUAUAUACACACACACACACAUUCAAAGAAUACAAUACUACUAUAUCGUAUUACUUUUUAUAAAUACAUUCCAAAGUAUACAGUACUACUAGAAAUAUAGAUACGUUCAAUAGUAUAUCGUACGACUAAAAGUUCAAUAUAUAUAUAUAUAUAUAUAUAUAUAUAUAUGGGAUAUGAUCAAUGGACAAACAUUUUGACAAAUAUUUUUACACUUCUUUUAAACCUUUAGAUUACAAAAUAUCCAAAGGUCCAUAUUCAUUCAUUAAAUGACAUGAAUGCUUAAGUGGAUUUUAACUAAUAUUAAACAUAAAAAUAAAAUUCAAAAAGCAUAAAAUAUGAAAGGUAAUUAAAAAUAAAAUUAAAAAGGAGAGAGGAAAAUAAAUCACACUUUAGAAAAGGAAUUUUUUUUUUUUAAUGGAUUCCUUUAAACCUGCAUAUGACUUUUAACAUGAAAGAUGGUUAAUCCAUCUAAACCCAUCAUCUACAGUAUUGCCUUCGGUGUUGCUUCUACAAUUGUAGACUUAAAGUAGUUCUUUUCUCAGAUUUUUUUAAUAGAUUUGAUGUUUUACUCGAGAGUAUAGGUCUAGUUGAAGGAGAAUCACCAUAAGUAGUGAAAACAAAUUCAUUAAUUAACUCAUGGCUUUGUUGAAUCAAUUAACUCAGGGAGGGAGAUGGAGGUUAUAGUAUUUUUCAUGUUUUUGUUUUUCUUAUUUUUUUUAUUUUUUAUGCUAGGUUCAAAGUUUGAUUAUUGGUUUUUUUUUCAAUUUUAUCCUAUUAGAUAUUAAUUUUUAAUUUAGAUUAGUGUUUUCUGUAUUAGUUAUAAUCCACAUCAUCAUCCAAGUCAUUUAAUUUUUAAACUCUCCACAGCACUCUUAAUCUAGACCGUUGAAUGUUAUAAAAUCUAAAAGCUACAAGGAAGUGUAAAAAUGUUUGUCAAAAUAUUUGUCCCUUGAUCCUAUCUCUAUAUAUAAUUUACUUAUAUGUAUAUACUUCUACUAUACGUUCAAAUAUAUAUAUGCUCUAUGACAUCCCACAUCGCUCAGAGGAGUGAUCCUUAAAUGUAUAUUCUCAUCCCUACCUAGCAUGAGGCCUUUUGAGAGCUCACUGGCUUCGGGUUCUGUAAGAACUUCGAAGUUAAGCGAGUAGGAGGCCAGAGCACUCCCAGGAUGGGUGACCCACUGGGAAGUUGCUCGUGAGUUCCCAAAAACAAAAUCGUGAGGGAAUGGUAAGCCCAAAGCGGACAAUAUUGUGCUACGGUGGUGGAACGGGCCCG
rnacentral:lncRNA from 1 species